GCGCCCUUAGCUCAGUCGGAUAGAGCAACGGCCUUCUAAGCCGUGGGUCGCAGGUUCGAAUCCUGCAGGGCGCACCA
rnacentral:tRNA from 35 species